AUUGAACGCUGGCGGCAGGCUUAACACAUGCAAGUCGAACGAGUGGCGGACGGGCGAGUAAUGCUUGGGAAUCUAGCUUACGGAGGGGGAUAACUACGGGAAACUGUAGCUAAUACCGCGUACCAUAGGAUGAGCCCAAGUGGGAUUAGGUAGUAGGUGGGGUAACGGCUCACCUAGGCGACGAUCCCUAGCUGGUCUGAGAGGAUGACCAGCCACACUGGAACUGAGACACGGUCCAGACUCCUACGGGAGGCAGCAGUGGGGAAUAUUGCACAAUGGGCGCAAGCCUGAUGCAGCCAUGCCGCGUGUAUGAAGAAGGCCUUCGGGUUGUAAAGUACUUUCAGCGAGGAGGCGUUACUCGCAGAAGAAGCACCGGCUAACUCCGUGCCAGCAGCCGCGGUAAUAC
rnacentral:rRNA from 1 species